rnacentral:lncRNA from 1 species
AUUUGUACCUUUUUCUCUCUUUUGUCUUUUUAGGGCCGCACCCGUGGCAUAUGGAGGUGCCCAGGCUAAAGGUCCAAUCGGAGCUGCAACUGCCGGCCUGCGCCACAGCCACAGCCACACAGAAUCUGAGCCGCGUCUGCGACCUGCACCCCAGCUCACGGCAACGCCGGAUCCCUGACCCUAGUAUUUGGACUUUAACUUCAAAAAAGGAACAGGAGUUCCCUGGCAGCCUAGUAGUUGAGGAUCGGGUGUGGUCGCUGUUGUGGCGCAGGUUCCAACCCUGGCGGCAGGUGCAGCCCAAGAAGAAACGGCACAUGACUUGAUUGGGAUCGACCUCACCUACCGAGCGUGAGAGGCCAGGCGCCAAGGCCCGCCCUUCCUCCCCGCGCCUGGCACCUGCCCUGCGUCGGGAGCUGCAGAGGCAGGAUGGGCCACACACGAGUCCGUUCACGGCCACGCUGUGGGGUUCCAUUCCCCGUGCAAGGGCCACCCGGGUCGUCUUUUGUGCACCUAGGGGAACCGGAGGCUCCCCUGUGAAUGCCUUUCUGGGGGUCCUGGACAGUGUCCGCCUGUGGGAACGUGUCAACCAAACAGGACUAAGCAAAAGCAGAGAGCACACGGCAGAGGUGACUGUGGUGACACAGAAUUACGUUUGUGGGGGGAGGGGCGGGUUCCGAGGCUGCCCCGGCGACGGCCUUCCCCAGGAUGGGCCACUUCCUCGCCAUCCACUGGGUUACAUGAAGUGAACGAGGGGCGGGGAGCGGGCUGCGCCUCUGCCGGCCCGCCCCCCGCCCUGCCGGACGCACAGGGGGCUCUGCUGCUCGACGGGAAACGGCUCCGGUGACCACUGGGUGGAAGCACAGGUAGGACAGGAGCGGGGAGCAGAAGGUGGGUGUGCUAGGUGAAGGACCGAAAGAAUGUGUAAGUACGUACACACACACACACACACCCCAGCCAGCCCGGAGGCCGGAAACCCAGGGGAGCCAAAGUUGCAGUUCAAAUGCAAAGGCAGGACAAAGGCCUGGGGAGCCUCUCUUAGCCCCAGGAGAGGAUGCCGGCCGUCAGCUGCUUAGGUGAGGCCCACCCCGUUGAGGAGGCCAGUGGGCUUUAUGCAGUCUAUGGCUUUAAAUGGUAACCGUCACAGGAGUUUAGAUGAGAACCCCUCCAUGGGUCAGAUGGUUCAGGAGCGAAAAGCAGGAGGACAAAAAGCCAGGAGAGCACCACUCAUUCAUUCAUUCACUCCUUCUUCUCUGGGGGGGGAUCGUCACCUCCUCUGGUUGUGCUUUUGGCCCUUGCCGUCAUUUUCAAACUGGCGCCUCAUCCCUUGCUUUCAGGGCCCCCUUGUUUGAAGGCCGUUGGGAGCCACACCCCCAGGUGGCAGAAGUCACGCUGGGCAGAGCAGGUCAGGGCUGGGAGGGGGAGGUGGCCUCGUGGUCUUGCGGCCCUGGUGGAGCCUGGGCAUCUUUGCCCCCGUGUGGGCCUGGCCUGUGGUAGGCACACUGCACACAGGCACUGUCGCCUGGCCGCCUCCCAUAAUGCCUGCUGUCACGGAAGACAUGCUAGGGGCUUCCUCGAAGCCGUGGUUUCCUUUCUGGAGGCGUGUGUGGCAGUGGGAGUAGGGCCCGUUUAUCCUCAGCGGCUCUGCUGCCCACUGUGCUGCCCACCUGCCAUGCGCGCACCACUCUCAUCAAAGUGCCAAGGCCGCCUGGGGAGGGACACCUUCUGCUCUCUGGUGCUGGCCCCAGCUCCUGGGAAGGGCAGGAAUUCCCGAUUGCCCCCUUUUAUCUGCUCUUUUUUGUCCAUGAGAACAGAACCCCAAUUUUCAGCUGACCACAGCUCCCAAAAAUGUCCAUUCCCCAGCCUCCUUUGCGGCUGUGUAUGGCCAUGUGACUAAGUUCUGCUUGAUGGAAUAUAAGCCAGAGUGGCUGCUUCCUGGACUUUUUAUCAUAAAGGAUAAUGAGCAUGUCCCCCGUGCCUCUUCACUUCCUCAAUCCUACCACCUGGAAGUUGAAUGUGAUGGCUGGAACUCUAGCCACCAUUUUGGGGCCAUGAGGGCAAAGGCUACACCCUGCAGAGAAUGGAGUGGGAAGCCGAAAGGAGCCUGGGUCCUCUGGGAGCAGAGGUGUCUCUCAGCAUUGCUCCAUCCUACUUCCAGACUUUAGCCCGAGAGAGAAAUAAACAUCGCCCUGAAGCCACUGUGGUUGGUGCACCUCAUCUUAUGUGACACACGAGGGAAGCUCAGGCAGUUGGCAACUCAUGGCUGGAGAAGAUUCUGGUGCUUUAGUGGAGCAGCAGUGAGGGAUCAGAGAUGCAGGGCAGAGGACGAGGCAUGGGGGUUGAGUUCAGCCCCUGGGGUGGUGGGAGAAAAGCAGAAACUCCCAGUCUUUGUAUACCCUGUCUUGAGUUGGGUGAGACCGUUGGCCAGGAAAGACAGCUGGUGGAUUCUGAGGACAGGAGUCUUCACCAUGAGGCUGUAAAGUGGCCUGUGCCUUAGAAGUUGCAAACUUUUCUUUUCCAAAUUACCAACAGGUGCAAACCUGAGCUUGCAAUGCACGCAUUUUGUAACUGUUCUUUUGACCGUGGCAUCAAACUGCCUUCAGCAGCUUCACCUGGCGCCGCCGCCUCCUCCUCCUCCAUCGGCCAGCGCCCUGGAGUGCCUGGAUGGGCAGCCUCCUUGGCCCGGCCACCCUGCUCCGCGCUGAGGGCUUGGCUGCAGCUCUGAAGCCCCACUCAUCAUGACUGGGAUUGCUCUCUGAGUUUGGGGUUUCCCACGGUACAAUGGGGCACACUGACAGCAAGCUCUGCAAGGUGGCAGAGCUGGAUUCCAUGCUUACCAUACACGCAGGGCAAAGGGAGACUUAACGUUACACUGGAAAACCUCUCGCAUCACCUACACUGAAUGCCUACAUCAUUAAAUAAACCUACGUU